GAGAGAUCAAGCAAAAGAAUGGGAGGCUGCUGCUAUGAAGAGGCUCACAUAGGGAGAGACUAAAGCCUCUGGCCAAUAGCCAGACAGGAACUGUGGCCUGCCAGCUACUAUGGAAGUGAGCACGCUAGCAAAUUCUCCAGCCCUAGAUCCUAGGCUGGCCUCUGACACAAGUCAGUGUUAGGAAGACUUGCUUUUUUUCCAUGAUGAUGAUAUAAUGAUGAUGCAAAUGAAGAUGAAGAAAAACAGCU